AUUGAACGCUGGCGGCAGGCCUAACACAUGCAAGUCGAACGAGUGGGGACGGGUGAGUAACACGUGGGUAACCUCCCAUCAGAGGGGAUAACACUUGGAAACAGGUGCUAAACCGAUACUGAUGGAUGGACCCGCGGUGCAUUAGCUAGUUGGUGAGGUAACGGCUAACCAAGGCCACGAGGCAUAGCCGACCUGAGAGGGGGAUCGGCCACACGGGAACUGAGACACGGCCCAGACUCCUACGGGAGGCAGCAGUGGGGAAUAUUCGACAAUGGGCGAAAGUCUGACCGAGCAACGCCGCGUGAGUGAAGAAGGUUUUCGGAUCGUAAAACUCUGUGGUUAGAGAAGCGGUAUCUAACCAGAAAGCCACGGCUAACUACGUGCCAGCAGCCGCGGUAAUUC
rnacentral:rRNA from 1 species